UACGUAGGGGGGCGAGCGUUGUCCGGAAUUACUGGGCGUAAAGAGCUCGUAGGUGGUUUGUCGCGUUGUCCGUGAAAACUCACAACUCAAUUGUGGGCGUGCGGGCGAUACGGGCAGACUGGAGUACUGCAGGGGAGACUGGAAUUCCUGGUGUAGCGGUGGAAUGCGCAGAUAUCAGGAGGAACACCGGUGGCGAAGGCGGGUCUCUGGGCAGUAACUGACGCUGAGGAGCGAAAGCGUGGGGAGCGAACAGG
rnacentral:rRNA from 1 species